rfam:Oikopleura dioica, whole genome shotgun assembly, reference scaffold set, scaffold scaffold_34
AAACAGGCCCUUUUAAGGGCCACACAAAUAUAUUCUUUAUGUAAAAU